rnacentral:tRNA from 1 species
GGGGGUGCAGCUCAGUGGCAGAGCACAUGCAUUGCAUACAUUUGGACUUGGAUUCAAUUUCCAACGCCACAG